rnacentral:rRNA from 1 species
UACGGGGGGGAGCAAGCGUUGUUCGGAUUUACUGGGCGUAAAGGGCGCGUAGGCGGCGCAACAAGUCACUUGUGAAAUCUCCGGGCUUAACCCGGAGCGGUCAAGUGAUACUGUCGUGCUAGAGUGCGGAAGGGGGCUACUGGAAUUCUCGGUGUAGCGGUGAAAUUCGUAGAUAUUCGGAGGAACACCAGUGGCGAAGGCGGCUCACUGGUCCAUUACUGACGCUGAGGUGCGAAAGCGUGGGGGAGCAAACAGG